rnacentral:rRNA from 1 species
UACGUAGGGGGCUAGCGUUGCUCGGAAUCACUGGGCGUAAAGCGCACGUAGGCGGAUCUUUAAGUCAGGGGUGAAAUCCUGGAGCUCAACUCCAGAACUGCCCUUGAUACUGAGGAUCUUGAGUCCGGGAGAGGUGAGUGGAACUCCGAGUGUAGAGGUGAAAUUCGUAGAUAUUCGGAAGAACACCAGUGGCGAAGGCGGCUCACUGGCCCGGUACUGACGCUGAGGUGCGAAAGCGUGGGGAGCAAACAGG